CCCUUAGAUGUUCUGGGCCGCACGCGCGCUACACUGACGAAGUCAGCGAGCAUCUCCUUCGCCGAAAGGUGCGGGGAAUCUUGUGAAACUUUGUCGUGCUGGGGAUUGAUUUUUGAAAUUCUUGAUCAUCAACGAGGAAUUCCUAGUAGACGUAGUUCAUCAGACUGCAUCGAUUACGUCCCUGCCCUUUGUACACACCGCCCGUCGCUCCUACCGAUUGAACGCUCAGGUGAGCCAUUCGGACUUUCAUCAUGCUGGUUUCCAGUUUUGAUGAAGGAAAGUCUUGCGAACCUUAUCAUUUAGAGGAAGGAGAAGUCGUAACA
rnacentral:rRNA from 1 species